rnacentral:rRNA from 1 species
GUGGGGUAAAAGCCUACCAAGGCGAUGACGGGUAGCGGGUCUGAGAGGAUGAUCCGUCACACUGGGACUGAGACACUGCCCAGACUCCUACGGGAGGCUGCAGUCGAGAAUCUUCCACAAUGGGCGAAAGCCUGAUGGAGCGACACCGCGUGCAGGAUGAAGGCCUUAGGGUUGUAAACUGCUGUCACGCUAUAGGAACCCACGGUGGUGAAUAGUCAUCGUGCUGACUAAAGCGAGAGGAAGCGCCGGCUAACUCCGUGCCAGCAGCCGCGGUAAUACGGAGGGCGCAAGCGUUGUUCGGAUUCACUGGGCAUAAAGCGCACGUAGGCUGCUUGCUAAGUCGAAUGUGAAAGCCCCCGGCUCAACCGGGGAACUGCAUCCGAUACUGGCAGGCUCGAGGACGGCAGGGGUAAGUGGAACUCCAGGUGGAACGGUGAAAUGUGUAGAUAUCUGGAGGAACACCGGUGGCGAAAGCGGCUUACUGGGCCGUCUCUGACGCUGAGGUGCGAAAGCUAGGGUAGCGAACGGGAUUAGAUACCCCGGUAGUCCUAGCCGUAAACGAUGGGCACUAGGCAGUGGAUCUACCUAUGGGAUUCACUGCCGUAGCUAAUGUGUUAAGUG